GGAUUUUUGGGUCAAGAUGGGUUUCACGAUCAUAUAUUGAAGGAUCCCUCUUCAAGGAAAGGGAAUAGUCAGAACUGAUCCCAAUCUGAGGAGCAGGAGCUGAAUGGAGUGAGGGCUGAGUUUUGUCAGCCCUGGAAUCAGCAGAGCGUUCCUGGGAAAUUGUUGCAUUGUAAGUUUUCUCAAAUACAGGAAUGACACUAUGAUCAACCAAGAACUUUCUCAGGUGUCCUAUUACUGCUUCUAAUGCUUUUAAAACCUUUAGAGCUUCACCAUGUAUCUCGACAAUUCUCUCAUCUGAAGUAGCAUAUGAAGGCGCUUCCUCUUCUGCCAAAACACGUACAACAGCACCAGUAUUUUCCUGUAUUGAUUUGAUUGUAGAUCCCUGUUUCCCGAUUAAGUUAAUCGCCUGUGAAGAAGCAACCAGUAAUCGUAUGGAGCAAAAUGCAGCACCAGCAACAGCAACAGCUGAACCUAUACUGUCAGCCUCACCAGCAGAUAGACCACUAACACGUUUGUACACUCUUAAUACAGCAUCCAUCGCAGGAGAUAGUGCUGCUUCUGGUUCUUCUUUUCCAGAUAUCAAAACAACACGAUCAGGAA
rnacentral:misc_RNA from 1 species